rnacentral:rRNA from 1 species
UAAUACGUAGGGUGCAAGCGUUGUCCGGAUUUAUUGGGCGUAAAGAGCUCGUAGGCGGUAUGUCACGUCGGAUGUGAAAAUCCAAGGCUCAACCUUGGACCUGCAUCCGAUACGGGCAAACUAGAGUGUGGUAGGGGAGACUGGAAUUCCUGGUGUAGCGGUGAAAUGCGCAGAUAUCAGGAGGAACACCAAUGGCGAAGGCAGGUCUCUGGGCCAUUACUGACGCUGAGGAGCGAAAGCGUGGGGAGCAAACAGGAUUAGAUACCCUGGUAGUCCACGCCGUAAACGGUGGGCGCUAGGUGUGGGGACCAUUCCACGGUCUCUGCGCCGCAGCUAACGCAUUAAGCGCCCCGCCUGGGGAGUACGGCCGCAAGGCUA